UCUAGAAACAACAUAUAGUGGUUUGUUUUGAACAGCUUUUAGAUUUUAAUUUGUAAUCAUGACAUUUCUAUGAUUUAGAUUUUGUAGGGUUAUUUUUAAACAUGUAUUAAUCUGUUUUUAUUUUAAUUCUGCUUUGUCUUUAACUCUUUUGCCAUUGCGGCCUUUUGCCAGUAUUCGCUGUUUAACAUGGGUGGAACUUUUAAACUGAUACUCCACCCAAUAACAUCUGCAAAUAUGUACCCUGUAGAAUUGAAAGUGGUUUUCUGUCCUAUGUGAGACUGCAAACUUUGGAAAUUCAACAAUAAAUUUCUUGAGUACCCCUUGAACUUUGGAUCUAUAGGAUAAAUAAGAUUUGUUUUAUUGGAACAUUUGAAUUUUCUGGAGCCGGGUUUUGAUGCAUGUGGAAAAUGAAUCACAGCUAUAUGUUUUGUUUCAUGCUCUUUUCUAAUUUUGAAAGCAUAAUAUUAAGGUGUUCACUGUACAUAUUUUAGGUGUGGUAUCAUUCACAAGAUGUCUGGAUUUAACCAUUUUCUUCUGAGCUUCUGUAUUCUAGGAUACAUUUUCUACUGUUCCACGGCUUGGCGUGUAGAUAUGCCAAGCAACAUCAGAGGAUUGGUGGGUUCCUGCCUUUUAAUCCCUUGCACCUACAAUUACGAUCAGUAUCCACCUCGCAGACCAGAGCGUGUGGCUUGGUACCAACAUGCAAGCUACUCAUAUCCUGUAGUUUGUAAAGAUUGGGACAUGAGCGAUGAAAUUGCUAUAUUUAAAGGUAAAACACGGACACCCAAUGCUGGGUAUGGGAGAAAUUGUGACCUUUUAAUCUACCCAGUGACAUGGAAUCACCACAGAGAGAAGAUUUACCCCUGGGUAGAUCCAGAAUACAUUGGGAAAUCCAUCCAUGCAUUCUGGGAUAAAACUGUAACAAUUGAAGUAGUUGGCAGUGCAGAGCAACCUCGUAUUACAAUAUAUGGAGACAGGAAGGUUGGAAAGCCUGUGACAGUACAAUGCACCGUUUCCCACACCUGUUCCUACUAUCCACCAGAUCUGAGUCUCAACAUCCCACUGCAAAGCCACAGUCUAAAUCAUAGCUCGGGGUAUGGUGGCACAACCGAAACCACCUUGACGACCACAUUAAACAUAGAGAGAGACCACCAAACUGUGCAGUGCUCCGUCCGACACAUGGGCGGUGAAACUGCAACUGCCACUCAAACCUUAAAUGCGUAAUGCUCCUUUUCAGCGUUGAGUAUCAGCCGUAC